ACGAACGCUGGCGGCGUGCCUAAUACAUGCAAGUAGAACGCUGAGGAUUGGUGCUUGCACUAAUCCAAAGAGUUGCGAACGGGUGAGUAACGCGUAGGUAACCUACCUCAUAGCGGGGGAUAACUAUUGGAAACGAUAGCUAAUACCGCAUGACACUAGAGUACACAUGUACUUAAUUUAAAAGGAGCAAUUGCUUCACUAUGAGAUGGACCUGCGUUGUAUUAGCUAGUUGGUGAGGUAACGGCUCACCAAGGCGACGAUACAUAGCCGACCUGAGAGGGUGAUCGGCCACACUGGGACUGAGACACGGCCCAGACUCCUACGGGAGGCAGCAGUAGGGAAUCUUCGGCAAUGGACGGAAGUCUGACCGAGCAACGCCGCGUGAGUGAAGAAGGUUUUCGGAUCGUAAAGCUCUGUUGUUAGAGAAGAACGGUAAUGGGAGUGGAAAAUCCAUUACGUGACGGUAACUAACCAGAAAGGGACGGCUAACUACGUGC
rnacentral:rRNA from 1 species